rnacentral:rRNA from 1 species
AGUGAACGCUGGCGGUAGGCCUAACACAUGCAAGUCGAACGGCAGCACAGUAAGAGCUUGCUCUUACGGGUGGCGAGUGGCGGACGGGUGAGGAAUACAUCGGAAUCUACUUUUUCGUGGGGGAUAAUGUAGGGAAACUUACGCUAAUACCGCAUACGACCUACGGGUGAAAGCAGGGGAUCUUCGGACCUUGCGCGAUUGAAUGAGCCGAUGUCGGAUUAGCUAGUUGGCGGGGUAAAGGCCCACCAAGGCGACGAUCCGUAGCUGGUCUGAGAGGAUGAUCAGCCACACUGGAACUGAGGCACGGUCCAGACUCCUACGGGAGGCGGCAGUGGGGAAUAUUGGACAAUGGGCGCAAGCCUGAUCCAGCCAUACCGCGUGGGUGAAGAAGGCCUUCGGGUUGUAAAGCCCUUUUGUUGGGAAAGAAAAGCAGCAGGUUAAUACCCCGCUGUUCUGACGGUACCCAAAGAAUAAGCACCGGCUAACUUCGUG